rnacentral:rRNA from 1 species
GACGAACGCUGGCGGCGUGCCUAAUACAUGCAAGUAGAACGCAGUUGCUAACGGGUGAGUAACGCGUUGGUAACUGCCUGGUAGCGGGGGAUUACUAUUGGAAUUGAUAGCUAAUACCGCAUACUACCCGCUGGUCCUGCGUUUUAUUAGCUAGUUGGUGGGGUAACGGCUCACCAAGGCAACGUUACAUAGCCGACCUGAUAGGGUGAUCGGCCACACUGGGACUGGGACACGGCCCAGACUCCUUCGGGAGGCAGCAGUAGGGAAUCUUCGGCAAUGGACGGAAGUCUGACCGAGCAACGCCGCGUGAGUGAAGAAGGUUUUCGGAUCGUAAAGCUCUGUUGUAAGAGAAGCGGUAUCUUACCAGAAAGGGACGGCUAACUACGUGCCAGCAGCCGCGGUAAUAC